GAGGCCAGGAAGGCUGCCGGGGAGGUGGAAGACGAGGGUACCGAAGAGCUGGGGGCCGACGCGGAGACCCAACCCAGCAGCACUAACGCCAGCCUUGCCAACCGCAGCCGUCCGUCCCCGGCGGCGGGGCCCCGGGAGCCCGCCCCAGGCAUCGCGGCUCGCGGUUCCCCGGAGCUGGGACAGCGCCCGCUCCGAAGAUUCGACCGCCUGGGCCCGGCGGGCGCGAGCCGGCCGCAAGCGUCGACGGCAAACUUUCCUCUCGUGGGAGCCAAGGAGGGGACGCCAAAGCUGGAACUUGGCUAACCCCGGGCCACCGGGCGUCCCCCUCCCGGAGCGGCACCCCGCCCUUCCCUCCAGUGAGUACGCACGGCGGGUCGGGACACGGGCCUUGGCGCUCCUCCUCCCGCCGCAGCUGGGGUGGGUGGCACCUCCUCGACUCCUUUGUUGGCGCCUCUCUCGGGGCAGGAUCGGAUGAGCGACCUGGGACAAGCGGGAGAGAAGCAUGAGGAGCAGUGACGGCCGCAGCACCCCAAGUACGAGCCAAGUUGCCUCCACACUAGCCACCCGGCCCAAGCUUCUGUGUGCGUCCUUCCCCCCUAGAGGGACGCGGUCCCCACUCCCAAGCGCUAAGCCAGCCUCUUCCGGGCCCACACCAUCAGGACCCGGGCCACCUCCCGCCUGGCUCCUGCCCGGAUUGCCCUCCUCCCGCCUCGAACUUCACCCAGACCCCGCGGUGUCCAGCAAGCAAACUUCUCCCUUUUCCAGAUCCCAGCUCCUACCGCCCCGGCCGACCACCUGCCUUCCGGGGUCCCCGCCCCCGCCGCUCCUCCCCCUCCCAGGUUGGGAUGAGAGCGAAGUUUCGGGUUACGGGACUCUUCCAAGCUUUUUUUUUUUUUUUUCCUUUUUGUACCUCCUUGGAUUAGUGUGGAAAGGGGGGCAGAGCCGUACAGCUGUUGCCUAAUCUCGACUCCCCAGUUCCUGGCCAUCCAGCUCCCGGAUCCCGAGAGGGUCCAGACAUCUCCAGAAAAACGGAGGGAACCCGCCAACAAAGCGGCCGUGGGACCGUGGGCGGUGUGGCAGCAAGGACCCCCCGCUCUCCUCACGCCCUAGUAUAGAAAGGAGCCCCGGUCCCGCCUCCAAGCUCCAAACCUGGCCGCUUGGUCCCCACUGCUCACCUCCGCACCCCGCGCCUGCAAAGCCAACGCCGAGGGCCACCCGAGUCCACGCGCCUUCCCGGCUCCUGCUGCGGGCGCCGACUCUCCUCUCACCCCAGCCCCUGGCCCAACCUCCACGGCUGGGAAAAACCAAGCCGGGGGGCGGGGGAGGGCCGGGGCUGCAGGAGAGAUCGCCACCGCGCUGCCCACCUCUGCUGCCCCAGGUGGAAGCAGAAGGAGCAAAAGCUCCAGCUCCUUUUUGGCUACGUGAUGACUUUGAGAUGACCUGGAGAAAGACCCUGUCUUGAAACAACCCCAAAAAGAAGAGCAGGCUGAGCCAUUGUCAAGACAGCUCAUCAGACAGAUCACUGGAAGAAAAAAACCUGACAACGCUGUCGCAAGAAAAGGAAACCACGGAGCGGGACCACGUACGGUUGUAGAUGUAGCAUCCUUCCGCUAAAUUAAACCUCAUCAAACCCAGAGAUAAGCAAAAGUGACUGUAAUCCAUGACUAUGCAGGAUUCACAUCUAGGAACACAAAGCUGCUUAAAUGAAAAGAAAUCGACUUUUGCAAUACAAAUUACCAAUGGAAACAAAAGGAAUAAAAAAAAAAACAGAAACAAAAUAUGCCCAUGCCAUCUGAUGCGGUAGAGUAUUUAGCAAUAUUCACCAUCCACUCUGACAAAAGAAAACACCCUACCUAAUAUAAAUGAAAGAAGUUCCCAUCCUGGCUAAGAGUACCAGAAACCAAGCGUAUUAACACCACAAAGCACACACCUACAAUGACAUGUAAUGGCAGAAGAUACGAUUUGCUGUUACGAAAAUUGAUGAUGGGGGAAAUAUGCUACAGCCUUAAACACUCAUAAAAUGAAAAGUUAUAUUUUGAAUUUCUUGUGAUUUUUUUUUACAUAAUAAAAAGUCAUAUCAUCAGAGAAUAGAGUUGGUUCUGUCUCUUCCUUCCUUCCUAGUCUGAGUGCCCCAUGGUCUUGCCUGAUUGUCUUAUGUGGCAUGCCCAAUACAAUCUUGAAAAAGAGCUAGGUAAGAGCAGACAUCCUUGUUUUGGUAUUUACUGUCAUGUGAAACCAUUCUGUCUUUAAGCAUUAAAUGUUAUUUUAGCUGUGGAGUUUUACUUCUUGCUGCUAUUACUGCUUUUAUACAUAUCAAUUAAAUAGAAUUUCAUUGACACAUC
rnacentral:lncRNA from 1 species